UGGGGAAUAUUGGACAAUGGGCGCAAGCCUGAUCCAGCCAUGCCGCGUGAGUGACGAAGGCCUUAGGGUUGUAAAGCUCUUUUGGCGGGGAAGAUAAUGACGGUACCCGCAGAAUAAGCUCCGGCUAACUUCGUGCCAGCAGCCGCGGUAAUACGAAGGGAGCUAGCGUUGUUCGGAAUCACUGGGCGUAAAGCGCACGUAGGUGGGCAGUUAAGUCAGGGGUGAAAGCCCGAGGCUCAACCUCGGAAUUGCCUCUGAUACUGGCUGUCUAGAGUUCGAGAGAGGUGAGUGGAAUUCCUAGUGUAGAGGUGAAAUUCGUAGAUAUGCGGAGGAACACCGAUGGCGAAGGCAAUCCCCUGGACCUGUACUGACGCUCAUGCACGAAAGCGUGGGGAGCAAACAGGAUUAGAUACCCCAGUAGUCCCUGAGCGGGCUGGCAAGGCGCAU
rnacentral:rRNA from 1 species